rnacentral:lncRNA from 13 species
UGGCCAAGAAGAACAACCCAGCUGAGCCCAGUCAACUUACAGAAUCAUGAAGCACAGAAUGACCUCUUCCUCCAGCCUUAGUAGAACUCUCAGUUUAAGGUGUAUCACCUUUUCCUACCCUGGACCAACUGGACUUUGACUUUGGAUGGAACUUGAAUCUGGAACAGUGCAACCCAAGCACCAAGAGUGCAAGAAUGGAUAUGUUCUGGAGGAUAUGAACAGAAGCAAGCAGAGGAUGAAGCUGAUGGUGUUCAUGGUAAGAAAGGAGGGCUAGCCCUGAAUGUGCUUAACAUAUGCAGGAUGCGUAUAGACAGGUAGCUGGAUUAGGUGUAUGCUGGAAAGAAGGGCUACACCCCUGACUCUGUGCACAGGUGUGUCACAGGUGGGGAGCCAGGAAAAUACCAAUCCAUUCAGGUGCAACUUUUGAUUGAUCAGAAUCUGUCAAUAUCACAAUGAAUAUUUACACAGAGCUUUGUAAUUUUCAAAGCCUUUUUCUAUAAUAUAUUGUCUUAUUUAAUCCUCAUAAUCUUGCAAAGCAAGUAGUAUUUUUGUCCCCACUUUAAAAAAUUCCUAAGGCACACCUAGUCAUUGUGAAGCCUGAAUCAAAACCUAGUUCCCAGACUCAUGUCCAUCUGUCACCUGUCACCACUAG